CGCGUCCGUGACUCCAGGAGAUGGCGCUGGGCUGCGGCCCCCGUUCUGGAUUUGAUCCUGAGAGACGGGGAGGGCUGGCUUGGGGUCUUGAAGGAGUGGGCCGCUGCCCCGCUUGGGCCGCCUCUUUCCGAGUCUUCUCCACCCUACGGCUGGUCGUCCACAGCUGCUUUGGGCCCCUGCAUUGGUUUUCCUCCUUUGGCUCACCCGGCCUAGAGUAGGUGAGACCUAAAGUUUGGCCCGAUUCCCUCUCAGGCCUCGGCAGGGGUUGGGGUCAGGGGCAGGCAGGGAAGGUGGGGUGAACUGGGCUCUGGGUGUAUGACAAGCUUCUUACUAGAUCUUCUUUCCCAGAAUGUCAGAGUUGAAAGUCACCUGGAGAGGGCCGCUCUCCACAAUCCCCAGACCCACCCACCCCCUACCCCCUCCACACCCAAGGUCUCCUGACUCCAACACUUACUAUCUGGUGUACUUGAGAAAUCAUUGCACUUUAUGAUUCAGUUUGUUCAUCUGUUUAAGUUGUGUUUAAGAGGGACUUCUCCCUGGGAUAUUGUGAGGAUUGUAGUCAAUAUUACUAGAUAAAAGAGGGUGACAGUGCUGGUCUGGAAACAUUUAUUGAGCACCCCAGUGUGCCACGCACAGUGCUGUGCUCUUGGGAGGAGGCACUGACACAAAGCCUUGUCAUCUGAGGGGUGACACUUGGUACACACACAGGUGAUGCAGGCUAUCCUAGUGGACAAACUAUAACGUAUUCUGGGAGGUGGGGGAGGUGAUUGGUGUCACCCAAAGCGUUUGAUGGCUUGAACUGGGUCCGGGGGAUGAAUAGAGGUUCUCUAGGGAGAGCAAGGGUGUGUGGGGUUUCUGAGGUGGGGGUCAGAUAGAGGAGGCCCAUAUGUGCCCUACAAAGGACUUUGUGGCCCUAAAGAGAGGACACCGAGAUGUUUAAUGAGAAGAGCGUGGUGAUCUCAGACAUACGGUUCAAGGGGUAAUGCAAGCACUGUGAGGACAGGUCAAAGUGGGGUGAGUAGGAGCCUCCAGCAUUGUGGGGUCAUCUGGGCAAGAGAAAAUGAGGCCCCUAGCUAAGAGGCUUGACCAAGGGGGAGAGCCAGGACUGUCUCCCAGGCUCCUGAUUCCAAGUUGGUGCUCUGAAGCACAGGCUUCUUCAGCCAUUUGGCAGGUGAACAAACAGGCUCACCCAAGCUUGCCCCAAAUCUCACUUAGUACUCACUUAGUACUGUGGUGUCACAGUGCAAGCCUGGCCCCCAAGACCCUUCAUCUCUAUUUCACUGCCCACAAGAGAAGCUCUUACUGGCGGGAAAAUGGAGUGUGGAGGUUGUGGGGAUGUGACAAGAUCCCACGUGGUAGGAUCCUGGGCAGGGGCGCCCCUGGGUGCCCGAGGGGGUCUUGGCAUCCACAGUGGCAGGUUGGGAGGAAGGGAGCUGGGGGCGUCGGAGGGGACCUGCACUCACAGAGCCCUUGCUCUCUGCCCAGCCUGUGCCACCACCUUGCUAGGUGCUGGAGACCUGUCCCUGCCCUCUGCCCUUCCUUAGAGUUUGUGGCUCCUUGGACAUCAGUGGCCCUCGGCCUGCCACCAGGUGGCUGCUGCAGUGUGGACUAGUAUUUAGUGGCAGAGAUGAAGAGAUUAAUCUGGGACUUGGGACAUCUGGAGCCCACAUGCCCCAACCCCAAGUUGUCUCAGGGGUUCAUGGGAUUGAUAAUCCUGGAGUGCUCCGUAGGGGGCUAAAAGGACUGGCUGAAAGCCUUGGACAAGUGCAGGGUGGCCCCACGGACUCCUCCCGCCUAGCCCCAGAGAGGUGACUGAGGGGUGGCUGGGCAGGGCCGUGUCAGAGCCCCAGACCUGACCCUCGUCUCUUUGUCUCCAUGAACAGAUGUGGAGUGGGCAGGACCUCUGGGCAGUGUGUGAGGCACAUCUGGGCACAGAGUCUAGGAAUGGGGCCCUCUGGGGCCCUGCCCACCGGCACGAGGACAUGUCCCCUAAGAAGACCUACCUCGGGAGGUGCCCUGCAGAGGGGACUGAUGCAGCCUGGAAUUGGAGGCCGGUUCUGUGCCCCGGUGGAAAAACUCCCCGAACCAGUUGGGAGUCAUGGCCAGAGAAGAGCUCGUCCUGGCUGCCUGGCCACAGACUUCCACUCUCAUGUGGCAGCAGGGACAGUGCCUGUGUGGAGAGCCAGCUUCUCUGCGCCUGCCUGGCCCAUCAGAGACAGCAAGUAACUGGCCCAAGAGAACACAGCAAAGUCAGCAGGAGGCCUGGCUCUAGAGGCGAAGCCUUUCCCCCAGGUGUGAACCAUACUUGCAAGGCUCCACUUUCCUUUCAGAGCAAUGGUUCUGAAGACUUUGGGGGUGUGAAACCCUUGGGAAAUCUAGCAAAGCUAUGAACCUUCUCCCCAGGAAAACGCGCAUACUUGCAUACUCACGGAGACACGAGAAUCUACAAACAAUGCCAGAGCUCCUGGACUCCUGGCUGAGAAUCUCAGCCCCAGGACAGAACCUGCCACUCUUUCCUUACCUACGACAGAUCCCUGGGUCAGGGCCGCCCCACAAGUAGCAUUUCUCCCUCCCCCUGCUGAACUUCCUUCCCUCACUCAGGAAUAAAGAAUUCUGAGGAGGGGACCCUUUUAGUCGCUCUCCUCCCAGGCCUCACGGGGCCUCAGGCUCCUGGAACCUC
rnacentral:lncRNA from 1 species